rnacentral:rRNA from 1 species
AGCGAACGCUGGCGGCGUGCCUAACACAUGCAAGUCGAGCGAACCAGGAGUAAAGGUAACUUUGUUCCUGGUUCGCGGCGAACGGGUGAGUAACACGUGGGUAAUCUGCCCUCAGGAGGGGGAUAACUCGGGGAAACCUGAGAUAAUACCCCCAUAAGACCACAAGCUGAGAUGCUUGUGGUAAAAGGAGCAAUCCACCUGAGGAUGGGCCCGCGGCCUAUCAGGUAGUUGGUAGGGUAAUGGCCUACCAAGCCUAUGACGGGUAGCCGAGCUGAGAGGCUGGCCGGCCACACUGGGACUGAGACACGGUCCAGACUCCUACGGGAGGCAGCAGUGGGGAAUAUUGGGCAAUGGGCGAAAGCCUGACCCAGCGACGCCGCGUGGGGAAGAAGGCCUUCGGGUUGUAAACCCCGUUUUGCCUAGAGGACGACUAAAGACUGUACUCUGCGAAUAAGCCACGGCUAACUCUGUG